rnacentral:tRNA from 1 species
AAGAAAGUGGCAGAACGGUUAUGUGGAUGGCUUGAAACCAUUUUAUGGGGGUUCAAUUCCCUCCUUUCUCG